rnacentral:lncRNA from 7 species
GGCGGCGGCGGCGGCGCGUGCGGGUCGUAACCGUGGGGCGAACGGGAGGAGGAGAGGAGGACGGAAAAGAGUGGCGCGAGUGGGGGUGACAGACGCACGCCAGCCCACGGGGAGCGCGGCGGGGGAGCGUGGUGGGGAAAGGGGGAACGCUCACGGCGCUUUUCGUUUGCCGUCGUUCUUUGUGCCUCUGCGGGGAGGGAAAUGCGUGGAAAUGACUUUAUUUCGAGUCUGCAAACACAGCGGUAUCUCUGUGGUUUUCCCGCAUUCCCUAUAACACCGAGGGGCAAAGGGUUCGUUUACUCCGUAACGUUCGCACCGUGACUCUUCCAAUGAGCCGCUUUCUUUCCUCCCGUUCUCCGACGGCCGCCGCGCCGCCAGAGCCGGGGGGACCAACAUCGCCGCGCGAAGUCGGGGCUGCGGAGCGCGGCCGCAAACGGGAGCGGGAGGGGACGACGGCUCGGCUUGGACCCACUCUGCACCGAGCGGAGAAGUCAGAGAGAGUAAGCGGGGUAUGCCCUGGGAAAAAUAGGAAGGAAUGGGAGGAAGGAAGGAAGGAAGGAAGGAAGGAAGGAAGGAAGGAAGGAAGGAAGGAAGGAAGGAAGGAAGGAAGGAAGGAAGGAAGGAAGGAAGGAAGGGAGGGAGGAAGGGAGGAAGGGAGGGAGGAAGGGAGGAAGGGAGGAAGGGAGGAAAGAAGGAAAGAAGGAAGGAAAAAGGGUGUCUUAGCAUCGAAAACCAGCGAUAUGUCCAACAUACACCAAAACCAUUCCCCUAUACAAGCAAACAUCUUUCCGUGAGCGGCUCACACCGCACUUGCAGACAACCCACGCUCGUGGCUCAGCACGGACGGGAGCGCGCCGUGCCACCGCCCUCAGCCCCUCCCCGUCGGGAUGGCACCCCGGGGGCUUCAGCACCUGCGGCGGGCGGGCCGGGCGCAGCCACCGGGUUGGGCCCUCGCUGCUCGGCCGAGGGGUGCGGACACCGCGCGUCCCACUGCAGCUCUCGUCUUCUCGAGAUGCAGCUCGCCGCAUUCGCUCCGGGAAAGUGCGUCCUCGACGGCAGCCGGGAGCUACGCAGGAGCUUUCUGGAGCUUCCUCAAGGGAGCAUUUCCCCGCGCAGGGACACAGCGGGAUACGGGAGCACAGCGUUGCGCCGGUGCGGGGCGGGCAGCGGGUCGAGAGCGCGGCAGCGGCUGUGGCUGAGCUCCGGGACCGGGGUGGAGUCGGGGAGUGACCGCGAGGGACUGCGCCCGAUCCCGCUAUCUUCCAUUAAAACGUGGAUGUGUUGGUGUGUUUCUCAUGCCACUCUCUGGACCUCGGUGAGAUUGUCAUCUGUGGCACAGAUCCUUCAGAACGGUUUCUACACUAAAAUGAUUUAA